rnacentral:rRNA from 1 species
ACGUAGGGAGCAAGCGUUAUCCGGAUUUAUUGGGUGUAAAGGGUGCGUAGACGGGAAAUUAAGUUAGUUGUGAAAUCCCUCGGCUUAACUGAGGAACUGCAACUAAAACUGAUUUUCUUGAGUGCUGGAGAGGAAAGUGGAAUUCCUAGUGUAGCGGUGAAAUGCGUAGAUAUUAGGAGGAACACCAGUGGCGAAGGCGACUUUCUGGACAGUAACUGACGUUGAGGCACGAAAGUGUGGGGAGCAAACAG